GAUGAACGCUGGCGGUCUGCUUACACAUGCAAGUCGAACGGGCUCUUCGGAGCUAGUGGCGGACGGGUGAGUAACGCGUGAGAAUCUGCCUUCAGGAGGGGGAUAACGACUGGAAACGGUCGCUAAUACCCCAUAUGCCUCCGGGUGAAAAGUAAUUCGCCUGAAGAUGAGCUCGCGUCAGAUUAGCUAGUUGGUGGGGUAAGAGCCUACCAAGGCGACGAUCUGUAGCUGGUCUGAGAGGAUGAUCAGCCACACUGGGACUGAGACACGGCCCAGACUCCUACGGGAGGCAGCAGUGGGGAAUUUUCCGCAAUGGGCGCAAGCCUGACGGAGCAAGACCGCGUGGGGGAUGACGGCCUAAUGGUUGUAAACCCCUUUUCUCUGGGAAGAAGACUGACGGUACCAGAGGAAUCAGCCUCGGCCAACUCCGUGCCAGCAGCCGCGGUAAUACGGAGGAGGCAAGCGUUAUCCGGAAUUAUUGGGCGUAAAGCGUCCGUAGGUGGUUAUUCAAGUCUGCUGUCAAAGCAUGGGGCUUAACUCCAUAGAGGCAGUGGAAACUGAGUGACUAGAGUGCGGUAGGGGUCGAGGGAAUUCCCAGUGUAGCGGUGAAAUGCGUAGAUAUUGGGAAGAACACCAGUGGCGAAAGCGCUCGACUGGGCCUGCACUGACACUGAGGGACGAAAGCUAGGGGAGCGAAAGGGAUUAGAUACCCCUGUAGUCCUAGCCGUAAACGAUGGAUACUAGGUGUUGCUCGUCAUCGACCCGAGCAGUGCCGUAGCCAACGCGUUAAGUAUCCCGACUGGGGAGUACGCUCGCAAGAGUGAAA
rnacentral:rRNA from 1 species